UACGUAGGGGGCAAGCGUUGUCCGGAAUCAUUGGGCGUAAAGAGCGUGUAGGCGGCCCGAUAAGUCCGCCGUGAAAGUCCAGGGCUCAACCCUGGAAUGCCGGUGGAAACUGUCGGGCUGGAGUCCGGAAGAGGCGAGUGGAAUUCCUGGUGUAGCGGUGAAAUGCGCAGAUAUCAGGAGGAAUACCGAUGGCGAAGGCAGGUCUCUGGGCUGACACUGACGCUCAUGCACGAAAGCGUGGGGAGCAAACAGG
rnacentral:rRNA from 1 species